GCAGAGUGUUUUCUCCUCCACAGUGGAGCAGAGAGGCGAUGAAGGAUACAGUCUGUUCAGUCGCUGUAACAACAUAAUAUAACCAUGUAACCAUUUAAUCAAAUCGGAUUUAUUAACAUAGAAAUUCAUAUGCAAAGACAUACUACACAAGGAGAUACUUUUUCAAGAAUUGAAUACAAAACUUUUGGAUGAACAAUGAAAUAAAAUCAAGUAUGAGUUCUCAGUCGUCACCCUCCUCCUCUUCUCUCUGACAGGUGUGUGAGGUAUUAGCGUGUAGUACAGUGUCCACAGACACUAGACUCCUGAGACACUGUAGAACAGCCAGGAUCAGAUGAUACAUACAGGACACUGACUCCACACCUGAACUAGAGCCAGAGCUUGACCAAACUGUCAUCUCCUUUACCCCUGACCCAGACCUUGACCUAGUGUCAGCCUGGACCAUAUUAGAACCAUCCACUACCAGAACAGCACUGUCUCCAGCGGGUCCGGAGAGUUACCAUGGUUACGUAUGCAGCUGAGAGUGUGUGCGAGAGCCUCAAGGUAGCGCCGAGGAUUGUGGGAGUAGAUCUGUCUGGGCACACUCAGUAGGGCCUCUGCUAACAUCCCCGAGGCGGCAGGGGUGUCCAAGUGUGACGGAGUGUGCGUGUCUGUGUUUGACGGAGUGUGCGUGUCUGUGUUUGACGGAGUGUGCGUGUCUGUGUUUGACGGAGUGUGCGUGUCUGUGUUUGACGGAGUGUGCGUGUCUGUGUUUGACGGAGUGUGCAUGUCUGUGUUUGACGGAGUGUGCGUGUCUGUGUUUGACGGAGUGUGCGUGUCUGUGUUUGAUGGAGGGUGUGGUGCUCCAUCACGUCUGUGUGUGUGUUUGUGUGUGUGUCUGUGUGUGUGUAAGCGGUUCUUUCUGUAGCUCCAGUCCUGUGUUUGGGCCCCCAGGUAGUAGUAUGCAGCAUGUGUAGAGCAUCUCGUACAGCACAUACACUCUGUUCCGCCUGGCCCUCUGUCUGUCCACACACAAGCAGACUGUGGGGUCUGCCCCUGUCCUCUGCCUUAGGAAACCCCACAUUGACGAACCUGGGAGAGAGAGAAAACCACAUAAUUAGCAUAGUGUGUAUGUGUGUGUUUGUGUGUGUGCGCGCGUGUA
ensembl:lncRNA